ensembl:lncRNA
GAACUCACGACGACGAUGUUGUGGAGGCCGGUGGGAGUGAGAAGACUGAGGCAAAGCCCCGGGCUGGGGGACAUGAGGACGAGGCGGCCCCAGUACCUGAGGUGGAGGUGGAGGAGGAGGCGGGCCAGCCCCGUGAAAAUGGCCAGGAGGAGUCCUUAGCCAUCGCCUGGGCUGAGCCGGAAGACGAGCCUGGCCCCAAGGUAAGCUCACCUUUCUUGAUGUGAGGUUGGAAAAGGUGCCUCCUUUCUUCUUGGAUGUACCUCCUUCAGAAAUGGAAAUCUGAGAAAGUCCACUGUAGAUGAUAUAUGCAGAUUGCUGUGCGGAGGACUGUUGAGUCCAAGUUUGGUACCAAGCAGUAGCUCCUUCCCCGGGGCAUUUGCAAAAGGGACCGCAUCAGUUCCCAAGUGUGCAGUAGGGAGCAUAUGUCUUUGAAGAAGCCGGAAUGUUGUUUUGUCUUGUUUGUCUUUUUUUGCCUUUUCUAGGGCCCCUCCCGCGGCAUAUGGAGAUGAGGUUCCCAGGCUAGGGGUCUGAUCGGAGCUGUAGCCACCGGCCUACGCCAGAGCCACAGCAACGUGGGAUCCGAGCCUCGUCUGCCACCUACACCACAGCUCAGGGCAGCGCCGGAUACUUCACCCACUGAGCAAGGCCAGGGAUCGAACCCGCAACCUCAUGGUUCUUGGUCCGAUUCGUUAACCACUGUGCCACGAUGGGAAGGCCAAAGAAGCCUGAAUGUUUGUUAAAUGUACGAGGACUUGGGAGAUCUUCCAUGAAAAGCUGGCGCCUUUUCCAAAGGGGUCUUCGCCGUGUUCUUUUGGGGAAACGGACUCAACGCUGCCUUCUGUCUGCGUGCCUGCGGUCCCCAACGGCAGGAAGACCUGUGGCCGCAGUGCAGAGGAUGCUGUGACACUCACCGUGUUUUCUCUUGUCUCAUCACAGGUGGACGGGGUGGACGAUGAAAUCUCUUGGAGCUUGGAGAGUGUGUGUGAGAGCGACCUCGCUGACAGCAACUCGCAGAAAGUGAUCGAGGUAAGAACAGCUCUCAGGUAGGAGCCAGUGGGAGAGGGUUCCCGGGACACUUGGGUUAGGCCUGCUGCUUGGAGGGUGGGGCGGGUGAGUGUGCAAUUGCAAAAGAGAAAGAAAUUGGUGUAAAGAUGUUCGUCGCCUAUGUUCCUAAGGAGGGGGAGCAGGUAUGAGAUGCCCGAAUGUUGGCAUCUGUGCUCACGUUGUGUUGGCGGGCCUCAGUCCCUGGAGCAGAGGGAAGGCCUGGGCACCUGGAGGAAAAACCCGGGUGAUGCUGUGUGACCCGCCGUCACCUCGGGAAGCCGGGGAAACGGGAGGGCCACUCCUUCUCACGCCUCGCUUCCCCGCGGUGUGUUUCUACAGACUCGGUGGCGGAGCGCACCGACUGCCGCCAGGAUGAGGAGGCUGCAGGUAGGGAAGAGCACGCAGCUGGGAUCCAGGGGGAGAGGUUCCUGGGAGCAGCUGGGUUCCACCUGCUGCCGGGAGAGGGCGGAAGGGGGCUAGGACUUGGGUGGGUGCCUACUGAGCGUAACUCCGCUGUGGUGUUUUCCCCUCUGAAGUUGCUAAGCCGAAGACGACUUGGGUCCCUGGUCUUUGUUGUGCUGUGUUUGGAUUCGUGUCUCCUUCCUUUGAGAGGAGAAUGGCUUUUCCCUCCCGAAGCGGCUCCUUCCAGCUCUUGUCUCUGGCCAUGGUGCCAGCUUGCUUUGUGGGUCGCACCCUGAGGGUCCUGUGCACAAGAGCUGUUGACUUAGUUUCCUUUGUUGCCCUUGAGGCCCUGGUGUGGUGGGACGCAA